rnacentral:rRNA from 1 species
UCAUGCCAAUGGCAUUGCUGGGUAGCUAUGUACGGACGGGAUAACCGCUGAAAGCAUCUAAGCGGGAAGCCCCCCUCAAGAUUAGGUUUCUCUGGACCUUUAAGGUCCCUAAAGGGUCGUUGUAGACUACAACGUUGAUAGGCGAGGUGUGGAAGCGCAGCAAUGCGUUAAGCUAACUCGUACUAAUUGCCCGUGAGGCUUGAUCAUAUAACACCCAAGAAG